rnacentral:piRNA from 1 species
UGGGAUUAAAGGCGUGCGCCACCAAUGC